UGUUACCUACGGGAGGCAGCAGUGAGGAAUAUUGGUCAAUGGACGGAAGUCUGAACCAGCCAUGCCGCGUGCAGGAAGACGGCUCUAUGAGUUGUAAACUGCUUUUGUACAAGGGUAAACCUGAAUACGUGUAUUCAGCUGAAAGUACUGUACGAAUAAGGAUCGGCUAACUCCGUGCCAGCAGCCGCGGUAAUACGGAGGAUCCACGCGUUAUCCGGAUUUAUUGGGUUUAAAGGGUGCGUAGGCGGAUUGAUAAGUUAGAGGUGAAAUGUCCGAGCUCAACUCGGGAACAGCCUCUUAUACUG
rnacentral:rRNA from 1 species